rnacentral:rRNA from 1 species
UACGUAGGGGGCAAGCGUUGUCCGGAUUUAUUGGGCGUAAAGAGCGUGUAGGCGGCCUGAAAGGUCAGCUGUGAAAACUCGAGGCUCAACCUCGAGACGCCGGUGGAAACCAUCAGGCUAGAGUCCGGAAGAGGAGAGUGGAAUUCCUGGUGUAGCGGUGAAAUGCGCAGAUAUCAGGAAGAACACCCGUGGCUAAGGCGGCUCUCUAGUACGGUACUGACGCUGAGACGCGAAGGCGUGGGGAGCGAACAGG